UUUAAAUAAGAAUUUACGAAUUUUAGAAAUAAAAAUGUAAUUAACAGAUAUUUAUUUUUAUACGUUUUAAAUAUUUCAACGAUUUAUGAAAUUAAAAUACUUUUAGAAUUUUAUGUUGAAAAUAAUUUGAAUUACGAAAACACGUUCGAAAUUGGAAAAGAAACCUAAUCGGUUUUGGGAUUCAAAUUCUAAAACUAAAUUCCUAUUCCUAGCCCAAUUGGGUGAAGCCCAAUCGGGUGAAGCCCAAAAUAAUAAACCCAAAACUCUCUCCCUUCCUCUUCUUCAAUUUUACAUAAAAACAACAACUCUCUCUCCUUCAACCAUCCACGUGAACCAGCAAGCACCCAAACCCUCUUUGUUGCUUCAGCGCCGUCGUCAACCACCAUCGCCAGACCGCCGUCUGCACCACCCUCGCCGUCGGCGUCUCCUCCUUCGUCCGGUAAUCCUCCCUCCUCUCUUAUCUCUUUCGUUCUCCUCCGUUCUCCUUCUCCUCUCACGUUUUCCUUUUCUUGAUUGGUUUUCCUUUCCUUCCUCUCCUCCUUAAUGCGUGGUUUUGUGCAGCAACCACCACCCACCUGCGAAACCGACCGCGACGGCCACCGGUUCCUUUGUCGCCGCCGACCAACCAGCACCAACUUCGCAAUCCUUCCACACGCAAACAGUCCUCCCUUUGGCUUGCUUCUUGCUCACGGCACCACCACCAGCGACCCGAGCAACCCUCGCUGCCACCAUUGACAGCCGCCACCGCCGCUGCCGCGUCAUCUCCGACCGCCGUCCAACCACUCUUCAUUCUCUCUUUUGGCGGAGAAUUCUCUUUAGGCGACUUUUGAAAGUGUUAAAGUGACCUAUUAGCUGUUUACACAAGAGGAAGAUCAUUGAAAGCUCAACUAGUCGGGUUGUUGAGGAGGAUGCCUCCAAUGUAGAGGUAGGCGAGCUGGAGGACAUGUAGAUCGAGGUUGUUGUCUCUCUUAAUAGGGUUGGAGAGACAUGUUGUUCAACCGGAUGCAUCACUUGUCCCAUAUACCGCUCAUGGGCGUGACCGACGUCAAGGCGCGACUACAUGAUAUUCUAGAGUGUUGGUGGGACACCACUUGUACAUUCCACAUGUACUGGGGGAGAUCACGAUCACUCCCUUUGACUUUUCUAUGAUCACAUGACUCCUUUUUUCUGAGAGGUAAGUCCAGCAUGGUAGUGGUCCGAGUUGGGGCAGUGACGAUGCUCAGGCUUUGAUUGGGCCCUUUGCGAAACGAUUACGACCUAACGAGGAUUCUUUCCCGUUGAUGAAAAUAUUGCCUGGUGUUGGGCUACCAGGUGCUACAGCGAAGCAAAGGGUUUGGUUGUUCUUGCUCGUACUUGUCUUCCGGAUGAUUAUUCCCGCCAGCAGUAGUCAUGUGCUGGCACGCUACUUAGAUCAUUUGAGGGAUUUGGGAUCUGUCUCGAGGCUUAGCUGGGGUAGCUUGGCAUAAAUCCACCUUCUGUACGAGAUGAAGAACGCCUCGAUGACUGCUUUGGUGGACUCUGCUGGCUGGCUGCCUUAUGGAGAGUGUUGGAGAUCUGGACGUAUGAGCAUUUCCCUGGCUUGGCGCCUGCUCUCCCUCAUGGUGCGGCUUACCUGUUUGCUGCCUCGUGGACUGGAGCAGAGCGCACUAGCAUUUCUAUGCAUACGUUCCGCAAGGCUUUGUGGAUUACCUGUGUUAGGGAGGUUGUAUUUAGCCCUUUCGAUGGGAGCCCAUGCCAGAUUCGGCAGCUCGGGCCCGCUUCCUGACUGAGCGGAGGGUGAUGAUCCUGGGGGUCUAUCUCCCCAUGUGGUUUCUGGGUGGGCGAGUUGUUCGCCAGCAUAGCUCUGUUGUUCCGCUAGUUCCCCUUGAUCCUCUUGGGUCUAUAAUGCUGAGUACCUCAAAUACGGAGAAGGAUUAUGUGAAAUCUUUACACCAAGGUGGUGUCGAUUCGCUCUGUCUCCCUUGUGAGGAUUUCGUAGUAGGGAACCCUUUAUAAGGAUUUCCUCCCGAGGCUUGCUCCAGCUGUUUGUUUUGUGUCACCGGUUGAGGAGGCUGGCCCUGACGAUAUCUCUUAUGAUGACAGAGUACUAUGCUUUGUGGAUGAUGAGGGGAUGUAGGUAGAGGUUCUGAUUCCCGCAGCACCUCCUUCAGACUGGAUGGCUGCCAACGCCAUUUCUGAGCGUUUUGUAGCUGUGAGCAUUUUUUGGUCUUUGAAAUUGUCUUAUCUUGUUGUCUGUAACUUAGAAACUUAUCUUUGAAUUGUAUAUGAAGCCCCUGGAGGAAAUAAUGCCCUUGGUCCAAGUAUGCAUUCAAUGCUAAGUCUAAUAAAUGCGGUUCAGUAUUGAUUAAACAAGUUAAUAAUUCAGUGAGAUCAAGUGAGUUGUAUGCCUAGCUAGAGGUCGCUUCAGUUCAAGUGGAAUUAAUAAUAUUAAUCCACAGCUUACUCUUGACUGAAACCGUAGGGUCACACAAAUAUUACGUGAAUGGAUCAAGUAUUUAAGUGAAUAUAUUAUUCAUUAAA